CCUACGGGUGGCAGCAGUGAGGAAUAUUGGUCAAUGGGCGAGAGCCUGAACCAGCCAAGUCGCGUGAAGGAUGACUGCCCUACGGGUUGUAAACUUCUUUUAUAAAGGAAUAAAGAGAGGCACGCGUGCCGUUUCGUGUGUACUUUCUGAAUAAGGAUCGGCUAACUCCGUGCCCGCAGCCGCGGUAAUACGGAGGAUCCGAGCGUUAUCCGGAUUUAUUGGGUUUAAAGGGAGCGUAGAGGGGUUGUUAAGUCAGUUGUGAAAGUUUGCGGCUCAACCGUAAAAUUGCAAUUGAUACUGGCAGUCUUGAGUACAGUAGAGGUAGGCGGAAUUCGUGGUGUAGCGGUGAAAUGCUUAGAUAGCACGAAGAACUCCGAUUGCGAAGGCAGCUUACUAAACUGCCACUGACAUUGAUGCACGAAAGUGUGGGUAUCAAACAGGAUUAGAUACCCUUGUAGUC
rnacentral:rRNA from 1 species